GACGGAGGAUGCAAGUGUUAUCCGGAAUCACUGGGCGUAAAGCGUCUGUAGGUGGUUUAAAAAGUCCACUGUUAAAAAUUGAAGCUUAACUUCAAAGAUGCCGUGGAAACUUUUAAACUUGAGUAUGAUAGGGGUGGAGGGAAUUUCCAGUGGAGCGGUGAAAUGCGUAGAUAUUGGAAAGACCACCAAUGGCGAAGGCACUCUACUGGGCCAUUACUGACACUGAGAGACGAAAGCUAGGGGAGCGAAUGGG
rnacentral:rRNA from 1 species